GUGGGGAAUUUUGGACAAUGGGCGCAAGCCUGAUCCAGCCAUGCCGCGUGCGGGAAGAAGGCCUUCGGGUUGUAAACCGCUUUCGGCCGGAACGAAAUCGCCCGGGUGAACAUCCCGGGUGGAUGACGGUACCGGAAGAAGAAGCACCGGCUAACUACGUGCCAGCAGCCGCGGUAAUACGUAGGGUGCGAGCGUUAAUCGGAAUUACUGGGCGUAAAGCGUGCGCAGGCGGUCUCGUAAGACAGGUGUGAAAUCCCCGGGCUCAACCUGGGAACUGCGCUUGUGACUGCGAGGCUGGAGUGUGGCAGAGGGAGGUGGAAUUCCACGUGUAGCAGUGAAAUGCGUAGAGAUGUGGAGGAACACCGAUGGCGAAGGCAGCCUCCUGGGCCAGCACUGACGCUCAUGCACGAAAGCGUGGGGAGCAAACAGGAUUAGAUACCCUGGUAGUCCACGCCCUAAACGAUGACGACUAGUUGUUGGGGUAGAAGUACCUUAGUAACGCAGCUAACGCGUGAAGUCGUCCGCCUGGGGAGUACGGUCGCAAGAUUAAAACUCAAAGGAAUUGACGG
rnacentral:rRNA from 1 species